UAUAACUUACAAAAGAAAAUGAAAAAGGGUCAGGGAAAACGCCCCCAUUAAUCUCUGCUCUUGCAUUUUAUACAGCUGUUUCUUCCCCUGUAGGACAGAUAGCAAAAGAUAUCAGCUUUCAACUCCAUCCCAACCUGCCUAUGGGCAGAGACCAUAUGAAGUGGAAGAUGAAAUGACCCUACCCUAUACACAUCUUUUAGAAAUGACAUAUACAUGUUUUUGGGUUUUAUUUUCCUAUUUCCUCCCCACAAGCUGUAUAUUUUAAAAUUUUCUCCUCCUGUGUUACCCCCAAUGUUUUUUGUAUCUAAACACAGCACAGGGUAAACCAGGGAAAACUGCAGUCCUCAUUCUCAGGUCUGCUUAGUAAUGGCAGGCGAAGGCAAAAGCUCUCUUCUCUUGAAUAUCUGACAGCAUCGUCUCGAGCUACUGUCUGCUCAACUGGUUAUUGCCCAGCCUCUUCAUCUCACAGUAACUGCUUAAAUUCAGUGGUUUCUGGCUUUCCUACUCAUGCCACACAACUGCCAGGGAAGUACAUGAGAGCAACAGGCCUGAGAGAGCUGUAAAUUAAAGAGGUAUGGAGCCAGAGGGUGACUGGCUAUAUUUGGGACCUUGUGGCACAAUUCCUGAUCAAGAAGAGGGUCUACUGCUCUACAUAGUUGCCACUGAAAGUUUUCUUCAUCAGAAAAAUUGAGCUGAAAGAAUUUUUAACUGGGUCCAGCAGUGUUUCAGGCCACAUGUCCAAAGUCCUUCCCUAUCUUUUGGUAAACAAUAAGUUUCUGCUGUCUCUGACACUCAGCAGAUACCUUCUGGUCAUUGCCAGAACACAAAAGCAUUUUGAAAACAAAGAAGGUUGUGACUUGUUUAACAUUUUGGGAAGGCAGUGGCAGAAUUUUGGUCAUGUUUUGAGGAAGGAUUAUGAUGGCUCUCUAAAAUUAAUCACCUCCCAUUUCUUUCAUCCAAAUAAUUCAUCUACCUUAUGUUGUAUUUUCUAUAUCUCUGUGACCUCUCACUUCUCAUCAGCUCCUCUAUCCAGUGUAAAGUGUGACAAGAUGGCUCAUAGCACCACACAUGAUUUGAAAGAUAUUUACAAAAAGACCUCCCUAAAGAAAAAGAUGCAGGGAAUAGUAUAAUUUACAUCCUUUGUGCAGCCUUCAAUGGAAGUGUGAGAAAAAUUCUGAAAGGAAAAUAAAAGUUAUGAAAACUGAAAAUGUGAGGUAGGAAUGGAGGCAAGUUUGGGAGCAAGUGGGUAUCUAAAUGGGUAUCUAAGUGGGUAUCCUAUUAAUUUAUAUUCAAUAUGUUGUUAACCAGCAGCCUGCCACUUUUUUUUUCACUUGGAUGUGUUUCUCAAACCAUGAAAAUCCAUGGCAAACAAAUAACUUUUCAAUGUUAAAUGCAAAUUAAGGUUUUAUGUUUUAUUACCUUUUCCAACACAGUAUUUUGUGAAAAUAAUUUUUCCUUAGUUCUUUUUAUAACACAGGCAGAGAUUUUCAUAUAUACAAUGUAUAGUGUACAAGUGCAAUGUAUACACAAAUAAAUAUAUUUACAUAGCCAGGGAUCUGUCUGUACUGAUACAAUCUUUAAGCCAAAUUCAACAUUUAUACAACCUGUCUCUCCGUAUAAUUCUAGUAUGUUUGGAUUAAAAAAGUCUGCAGCUUUCUAAUUGUCAUGGUUUAACCCCAGCUGCCAACUAAGCAAAACUGGCAUGCUAAUAAAAGAUCUGACUCUUCCUUUCAGCCCUGCACAGACCAUAAAUCUGGGAGACGAUUUUGGAAGUGUGAAGAAGACAAAACAUCACUUCCUGGCGUGUGUUCUACUCCAGAUGAGCAUGUCAGCAUGCUCUUUUUGAUUGCUUACCUGGUGUUAGCGCUCUGUGAAGGGAUCCUGUCACCACAGGAUUGUUUCCCACUCAGCUUCCCACAUACACAACCCCCAUUCUGGAACUGCUACACUCCAAAACAUGUGAGUGACAACAGGCUUGACAGCCCUUGGGGUAGUGAAAGAUCUGGCGAGAGCAAGCCUCCCCAGCAUGCUCAUCAGCCUUAAGCAAUCAUGACUGUGAUCAUGCUGCUGAAAUACGGAGGUCCUGAAAGACCAGCAGACUGAGAGACGACUGAGAAGUUAGAACCAUGGCUAUUUGUCUAGGACUUUGUGUCAGAAAUUUCCUUUGUUUCAUGGACUCUCCGUGGACUCCAAGGAAAGGAAGAAUGAUUUUUCUUAAAUAAUCAAGGAUUACACGAAACCUCUUCUGACUUCCUGGGAUUUCCUCAAAGUCAACAGAAAG